rnacentral:rRNA from 1 species
AUGAACGCUGGCGGCGUGCCUAAUACAUGCAAGUCGAGCGAACAGAUGAGGAGCUUGCUCCUCUGACGUUAGCGGCGGACGGGUGAGUAACACGUGGAUAACCUACCUAUAAGACUGGGAUAACUUCGGGAAACCGGAGCUAAUACCGGAUAAUAUAUUGAACCCCAUGGUUCAAUAGUGAAAGACGGUUUUGCUGUCACUUAUAGAUGGAUCCGCGCCGCAUUAGCUAGUUGGUAAGGUAACGGCUUACCAAGGCAACGAUGCGUAGCCGACCUGAGAGGGUGAUCGGCCACACUGGAACUGAGACACGGUCCAGACUCCUACGGGAGGCAGCAGUAGGGAAUCUUCCGCAAUGGGCGAAAGCCUGACGGAGCAACGCCGCGUGAGUGAUGAAGGUCUUCGGAUCGUAAAACUCUGUUAUUAGGGAAGAACAAAUGUGUAAGUAACUAUGCACGUCUUGACGGUACCUAAUCAGAAAGCCACGGCUAACUACGUG